rnacentral:rRNA from 1 species
AAACCAACAGGGAUUGCCCUAGUAACGGCGAGUGAAGCGGCAACAGCUCAAAUUUGAAAUCUGGCGUCUUUGGCGUCCGAGUUGUAAUUUGCAGAGGGCGCUUUGGCAUUGGCAGCGGUCCAAGUUCCUUGGAACAGGACGUCACAGAGGGUGAGAAUCCCGUACGUGGUCGCUAGCCUUUACCGUGUAAAGCCCCUUCGACGAGUCGAGUUGUUUGGGAAUGCAGCUCUAAAUGGGAGGUAAAUUUCUUCUAAAGCUAAAUACUGGCCAGAGACCGAUAGCGCACAAGUAGAGUGAUCGAAAGAUGAAAAGCACUUUGGAAAGAGAGUUAAAAAGCACGUGAAAUUGUUGAAAGGGAAGCGCUUGCAGCCAGACUUGCCUGUAGUUGCUCAUCCGGGUUUUUACCCGGUGCACUCUUCUAUAGGCAGGCCAGCAUCAGUUUGGGCGGUUGGAUAAAGGUCUCUGUCACGUACCUCCUCUCGGGGAGAACUUAUAGGGGAGACGUAAUGCAACCAGCCUGGACUGAGGUCCGCGCAUCUGCUAGGAUGCUGGCGUAAUGGCUGUAAGCGGC